rnacentral:lncRNA from 1 species
AGCUGCUGUUUGAUUGAGGAAUUCAGGAUUGAGAUUAACUGGAUAUGGUUGGUGGGGAGAGCAUGAGUGUUUUGUUGGAGGAUGAUGCCUAGAUAGGCGACAGAUGGAGAAGAAAUCUGGGACUUAGAAGAGGACACGUGAUAUUCCUUUAAAAAUAGGUGCUGAAGAAGCAGGAGAGUGUCUUGCUGAGAAGCUUUAUAAGAAGGGCUGCAUAAGAGGAGGUCUUCCCCGUAUGGAAUAAGGUGAGAAGUCGAGGGACAGAAAGAGAGCAAGUUGUGAAUGAGGGCCUUACUGAAGUAGUGUGGGCUCUCCCCGAAGCCCUGAGGCAGGACAAUCCAGGGAGAAGAAAAUGA